rnacentral:lncRNA from 1 species
CUUUUUUAUUUUUUUUAAAAAAUUUCUCUUCCUUUCUCGGUGCCCGAGAAUAAAGAGAUGAAGAGUGAAGGAUUUCUGUAUGAAAAGGAAGAAGGAGAAGUAAAGAGACUUUUUGAUGCCGCCAACCAAGAAAAAGAGAAAAUAAAGAAUCUUAGUAAUAGAGAAAAGAGACUAGAGAGGAAUAUCAUAGACACCAACGAUGAUGAUGAUGAUGAAAAAGAAAGGGAAGUAAAGAUGAGAGCACGCAGGGAAUCUCAUAUAUUUUUUUUUCAUAACGAUGUUGAUGACAACAAAAAUGUGUAGAAGGAAGCUUUGCAUAUCAAAUACGCAAAAGCUCAGACGGUGGAGGGGAGGAGAGAAAAGAUAGAGAGGGCAAACAAAAGCGCAGAAAUGUAAGGCAGAGAAGGAGAGAAGCAACUGAGACGGUAGGAAGAAAAACAUAUAUAUAUAUAUAUAUAUAUCUUUAAUACUGAACAAUAAGAGUAAUUGAAUGAGUUCAAAGGUGUAUUGUCUAAUUAAUUAGAAUAAUUUCGGUGCUUCAUAUGCCUGGAUUGUGAAUGUAAAAGUUGGUUUUUGUCUGGUAG